rfam:Camelus ferus unplaced genomic scaffold scaffold299, whole genome shotgun sequence.
GGAGGGUACAGCUCAGUGGUGGAGCACACGCUUAGCAUGCGUGAGGUCCUGGGCUCAAUCCCCAGCACCUCUA